rnacentral:snoRNA from 1 species
UUAGAUACAUGAUAACCUCACUUCAACUUAAACUCUCUUACAGGUUACUUGGUGACAAUAAAAGAUCAGAUUUCUGU